rnacentral:rRNA from 1 species
CCCUUAGAUGUCCUGGGCCGCACGCGCGCUACACUGAUGCAUUCAACGAGUAUUUCCUUGGCCGAGAGGCCUGGGCAAUCUUUUAAACCUGCAUCGUGAUAGGGAUAGAUUAUUGCAAUUAUUAAUCUUGAACGAGGAAUUCCUAGUAAACGCAAAUCAUCAAUUUGCAUUGAUUACGUCCCUGCCCUUUGUACACACCGCCCGUCGCACCUACCGAUUGAAUGGUCCGGUGAAAUCUCGGGAUUGUGGCCAGUUCACUUUAUUGGGAGUUGGCUGCGAGAACUUGCUUAAACCUUAUCAUUUAGAGGAAGGAGAAGUCGUAACA